rnacentral:rRNA from 1 species
UUCUUGAAACUCAAAGAAUUUGGCGGUGUUUUAGUCUAUUCAGAGGAAUCUGUCCCGUAAUCGAUAAUUCACGAAUUAUUAUACUUGAUUUUGUAAAUAAUCAACUUGUAUACCGCCGUCAUCAGAUUAUUUUUUUAGAAUUUGAAUUUUCUUGAAAUUUUAUUAGAUUAUAUGUCAGGUCAAGGUGCAGUUUAUGGUUAAGUGGAGAUGGAUUACAAUAAGAUUAUUUAUUAUGAAUUUUAUAAAUGAAAAAUUAAUUGAAGGUGGAUUUGACAGUAAUUUUAUUAUUUUGAUAAUUUGAUUAUAGCUCUAAAACAUGCACACAUCGCCCGUCGCUCUCGUUAUUAAGGCGAGAUAAGUCGUAACAUAGUAGAUGUACUGGAAAGUGUAUCUAGAAAGUAAAA